UGGGGAAUAUUGGACAAUGGGCGAAAGCCUGAUCCAGCCAUGCCGCGUGUGUGAAGAAGGUCUUCGGAUUGUAAAGCACUUUAAGUUGGGAGGAAGGGCAGUAAGCGAAUACCUUGCUGUUUUGACGUUACCGACAGAAUAAGCACCGGCUAACUCUGUGCCAGCAGCCGCGGUAAUACAGAGGGUGCAAGCGUUAAUCGUAAUUACUGGGCGUAAAGCGCGCGUAGGUGGUUCGUUAAGUUGAAUGUGAAAGCCCCGGGCUCAACCUGGGAACUGCAUCCAAAACUGGCGAGCUAGAGUAGGGCAGAGGGUGGUGGAAUUUCCUGUGUAGCGGUGAAAUGCGUAGAUAUAGGAAGGAACACCAGUGGCGAAGGCGACCACCUGGGCUCAUACUGACACUGAGGUGCGAAAGCGUAGGGAGCAAACAGG
rnacentral:rRNA from 1 species